CAAAACUGUGAUCUGGAAAUAGAACCUUGAAAAGUUUAGCAUGAGAGUGUGAAAUUUUAAUUCUCAUCAUUGCUUAGAAACCAUAGUCACUCCCAGGGCAACCAAAAGAGCUUGCCUACAUUUAGGCAAGUAAGCAAACAAGAGCUAAGCAUGAUAUCUCUGAAGAGCCUUUUGACCUUCUCAUGGACAGCUUUAGUUUGUGUAGCCAUUGGAGUUUUGGGUCAUCUCUGGAUAAUCAAAUCAUUAGUAAACAAUUAACCAUAUUUCUGACUCUCACUUUCUGGUCCUAGUAGUCAUUUAUGUCAUUUUCAACUUUUAUACUAAAGGAAAUGACUGGAUAACUGACUUCCUGCCUUAGAUAUAGGGAAGCUAGACUUUCCCCCAAAGUCCUAGAGUUUGGAUGCAUCAUUUCCACUCCAUAUUCUAGUAUAUGUCAUCUUCCCAGGCAAUGGGCAUAGCUGAAUAUUAAUAGAACCUGGACCAGAAAACUCAACUCAAUACAGGGAAGAUAUUCUGGAUAUUUGGGUCAGAGGAGAAAGAGGUUGAGAAUGACAAAAAACUAUUAGUUGAGAGGGCUGGGGGUUGUGGCUCAGUGGUACAGUGCUUGCCUAGCAUGUGUGAGGCACUGGGUUUGAUUCUCAGCACCACAUAUAAAUAAACAAAACAAAAAAAGUCCAUUGACAACUAAAAACCAAAGAACUAGAAGACAGGAGCUCAAAGCUUCCCAACACAAAGACAUGAUUAAUGUUUAAGGAGAUAGAAAUGCUAAUUGCCCUGAUUUGAUCUUUACACAUGUAUCUAAUUAUCACCCUGCAACCCAUACAUAUGUACAAUUAUCAUGUGUCAAUGAAAACUAG
rnacentral:lncRNA from 1 species